GACGAACGCUGGCGGCGUGCCUAAUACAUGCAAGUCGAACGCAGUGGGGACGGGUGCGUAACACGUGGGUAACCUCCCAUCAGAGGGGAUAACACUUGGCAACAGGUGCUAAAACGAUACUGAUGGAUGGACCCGCGGUGGCUUAGCUAGUUGGUGCGGUAACGGCUCACCAAGGCCACGAUGCAUAGCCGACCUGAUAGGGGGAUCGGCCACACUGGGACGGAGACACGGCCCAGACUCCUACGGUAGGAAGCAGUAGGGAAUCUUCGGCAAUGGACGAAAGUCUGACCGAGCAACGCCGCGGGAGUGAAGAAGGUUUUCGGAUCGUAAAACGCUGUUGUUGGAGAAGCGGUAUCUAACCAGAAAGCCACGGCUAACUACGUGCCAGCAGCCGCGGUAAUAC
rnacentral:rRNA from 1 species